UCUUCGGAGAGUUUGAUCCUGGCUCAGGAUGAACGCUGGCGGCGUGCCUAAUACAUGCAAGUCGAGCGAACAUCAUAGAAGCUUGCUUCUAUGAUGUUAGCGGCGGACGGGUGAGUAACACGUGGGCAACCUGCCUGUAAGACUGGGAUAACUCCGGGAAACCGGAGCUAAUACCGGAUAACAUUUUCUCUUGCAUAAGAGAAAAUUGAAAGAUGGUUUCGGCUAUCACUUACAGAUGGGCCCGCGGUGCAUUAGCUAGUUGGUGAGGUAACGGCUCACCAAGGCAACGAUGCAUAG
rnacentral:rRNA from 1 species